rnacentral:misc_RNA from 1 species
AAUAAAUCUUCAUUCUGAGAUGGCCAUAACCAUGGUAUUAACAAACAUGACGUUCUCUAUCUUUACAGCAAAAAACUGGCAGCCAUUCUGAAGCUGAGUUUGCUACAGAUUAUUUAUUAGCAAGGUCUGCUGCAUACUAAUUUCUGCUGUUGCUGGCUUUGGGAUUGUGCAUGACAUGAUCUGGCUUUAUCUCUUAGCUCUUGGAAAGCCCUCAUUGUUUCCACAUCAAAACCUCCAGCAAACUGAUGUACGCGGAAGGCAAAUCUAACACCUUGUACUAUCAGCUCUUCUUCUUCAGCGCCCCCACCAACAGUUUCAAGCUCUGCAGAUACUCUCUUCAUAUACUUCAUUGCUAGUUUUACAGAAGCCAACUUGAUCUACAAUAAUGUGCAGUAAUUAGCUAACGCCCAACAAAGGUACAGUGGAUUAAAAUAAAUGCACUACAGUUAUUGAAAAGAAUAGGGCCUAUAAUUACCUGUUGAUCACAUCCCCUUUUAAUCCUUGUGUUAUUAUUGAGUAAAAAUUAUAUUUCUCCAUUCUAAUUUCUUAAAAUUCUGAUGGGUUUUAGUAACAUAUGAUAGCAUUACAAGAAAAAGUAGCAAAAAGAAAAAGAGAGCUAGCUUGCCUAUAGGGUAAACAUGGAGAAUCUUUACUAACGAAUCCAAAGUAAGAAAGAAGCAGACAAACAAAAGCAUUUUUACAGAUCUGGGAAUUCAUAUGUGCGCAUGCAGGGGCGGGAAGAGAAAAAUAGGCAAUAUCUAACCUCCUUUUUGUCAUCUAGUAACCACUAUUCUUUGUUUAGUAAUGCACGCUCAGUGGAUUGUGUCAAAAGCAAGUUUAGUUGGCCUCCCCAAGAUUACAACCAUGAUUGAUUAAAGGGGACAAUUUUUAAAUCCAUCUCUAGAUUAUCAAAAGUGCAAUUUGCUGGGAUGGGUAUUAUUGUAAUUACAUUUCACAUGAAACGUCAAUAGAAUGGACAAUUAUUGUCCAAUUCCGCGUAGAGCUACCCAACUUGAAUCUGUUUUACGCGAGGAAGACAAAGGUUGGAAGUACAUGCCUAAAAUUUGCAGUUGAAAAAAAGCGUACAAGUUCAGUUACCUGGCUUACAAUUCCAGUCUCAAGCAUCCAACUCAUUGGAAUUUGAAACCCCUUGUAUCUGUUUGUUGCAGAUUCUCUCAUUCUUGAUAGAUUGUAAGCACCAUGCUCUAAUCUGUGAAAUUCAAUAUCUCACACAGGUAACAAUUAAUAUAACCAUAAUGCCUAGACAUCAAAGCGAAAACACAAAUUGGGCUGCUAAAUAAGAUAUAUACUUUUCAAGCAAAGCCUGCAUUUUCUUAAGAGCAGAACCACAUGAAUGACGAGCAUCAUCACGAAACGAUGAAGCCUCUGAUUCUAACUUCUUGAGAUCACAGUAACCAAAUGCAGCCUCACGUAAUGCAUCUGCCUUCUGCUCUGGCCAAUCAAAGUGCUUAAGCACAGCUCUUUCAUCCACCAGAUAGGAUAGCUCAUCAUCGAGCCAUUUAACAAAAGGCACCACAUCUUCAAUAUCUGUAAAUGCAGCAUUCUCAACUUCUUUGAUCAAAAACCUUAUGAAAUCUCCCUGUGUUUCUACAUCUGUUUUUAUCGCUAGCAAAUGCGUCGACCUGUUCUCGAUUUCCCCUAUCAUGUCGCGAGCAUUGGCGGUUGCCGGCAACACAUCCGGCGCUCCGGUACCAGACUCCCUCCGAGAAUCUCUCCGCAUCAGAGAGUGAUAAAACUCCACUACCUCUGGCACUCUCCUGACCUUAGCGGGCCCCAUUCUCGUACCCUUUAGCGGAGGCGGAGGUGGUGGCGGGGCAGGUGGUUUGACCGCGGCUGGAGGAGGAGGUGGUGGAGUUAGAGGUGGUGGCGGGGGUGCUGAAACGGAUUGAUCAGAGACGCUAGAUGAUGUUGAUGAGGAUAAAGAGUUUGAUGAUGACGAUCGUUUCGGCGGUGGUUUAGGAACUCUAGGAACGCGAGAUCUCAGGUUAGACAGAGUCGAGUCGACGAGUUCCUCCGAGUUGCAUCUAGAGUGCCUCGGUUUCUCUACGUCCACUUCGUCUUUCUUGGAAUCUAAAGUUUCAGACUUUUGAUUGUGAGUCUCAUGACUUGCACUUGCAAUGUCCAUACAUUUCACUCCCUUUUUCAAAUUCCUGAUCAGAUUAGACUUCGUGGAGAAGUCCAUUAACCCUUGAAACCUCUGCGAAGACGAAAGCUCUUCACUUUCUUUAUCCGACAACGUUUUCUUCAGCUCCACAAUCUCUGCCUCCAAGGCCCUGAUCUUCUUCUCGCUUUCUCUCAUCUCUACUUCAAACUUAACCUUCGCUUCGCUCCACUCUGUUCUGAGCCUCUCAUUUUCACUCUCCAAGCACUCAAUCUUCAUCACUGCCUUUUCAAGUUCUGCAUUUUUUGUUGAAAUCUCAUUCUCCAGUACAGGAACUAUAGCGACGCUCUCUUUCAACAGCUUGAACUCAAGAAGCUCCGUUUUUAGUCUAGAUUCUCGGACGCGGAGCUCUUCGACAAGGCGUAAAAGCUCAGCAACAUCAGGAGGACGGGGCUGGACCUGGACGGAGGAACGUGGGAAAUAAACACCGAAAGAACGUGAGAAGACAGCCUUCUGUGGGGCGACUUUCCCGGAGCUGGGAGAAGGAAGAGGCGGCUUGGGCGGCGUUUCAGUUUUGGGAUGCGCUGGCGACUUCUGCAGACCCAUUGCCAACCUGACCUUUCCAGCAACCAUUACUGUAAUGUAAGCGUCCCCGAGUAUAUAGUUUUUUAGGGUCUAGUCUGGUUUUUGAUAUAGCAGAGUUGAGCAUAUACAAAAACGUCGCUGUCUGUGGUGUCUGGAACUUGGAGUUUCUGGUCUCCAGUAGAGAGAGAGAGAG